GGAUUGCCCUAGUAACGGCGAGUGAAGCGGCAACAGCUCAAAUUUGAAAUCUGGCUUCGGCCCGAGUUGUAAUUUGCAGAGGAUGUUUCUGGCGCGGUGCCUUCCGAGUUCCCUGGAACGGGACGCCACAGAGGGUGAGAGCCCCGUAUGGUUGGACACCAAGCCUGUGUGAAACUCCUUCAACGAGUCGAGUAGUUUGGGAAUGCUGCUCUAAAUGGGAGGUAAAUCUCUUCUAAAGCUAAAUACCGGCCAGAGACCGAUAGCGCACAAGUAGAGUGAUCGAAAGAUGAAAAGCACCUUGAAAAGGGGGUUAAAUAGUACGUGAAAUUGUUGAAAGGGAAGCACUUAUGACCAGACUUGGGCCGGGCGGCUCAUCAGGGGUUCUCCCCUGUGCACUCCGCCCGGCACAGGCCAGCAUCGGUUUUCGCGGGGGGAUAAGACCGUCAGGAACGUGGCACCCUCCGGGGUGUGUUAUAGCCUGGCGGACGAUACCCCCGCGGGGACCGAGGUUCGCGCUCCGCAAGGAUGCUGGCGUAAUGGUCAUCAGUGACCCGUCUUGAAACACGGACCAAGGAGUCGUCCAUUAGAGCGAGCGUUUGGGUGUAAAACCCGCACGCGUAAUGAAAGUGAACGCAGGUGAGAGCUUCGGCGCAUCAUCGACCGAUCCUGAUGUUCUCGGAAGGAUUUGAGUAAGAGUUUUAACGGACGGACCCGAAAGACAGUGAACUAUGCUUGUAUAGGGUGAAGCCAGAGGAAACUCUGGUGGAGGCUCGCAGCGGUUCUGACGUGCAAAUCGAUCGUCAAAUAUGAGCAUGGGGGCGAAAGAC
rnacentral:rRNA from 1 species